AAAUCUUUUCUUUUUAGUUGGAUGAAAUCUUUCGAAAGUCUUUAAUUUGUCUAUAAUUAUAGACAAUACCGCCUAUAUUUUCUAUGGGAUUCGAACCUGAACUUUAUUUACGAUUUGGUUCUUCUAUAUCAUCGGCACCUAUUGCUCAUAUUUCAUGGGCAAAGAGAACUACCAAAGUGUUUCAAAGAAAGGGGGUUAUCCUGACGUAGGUCUGCUUAUGGCCUAGAUCAACUUAAGUUUAAUGGACUCUCUAACGAACUACUAAAAAAAAUUGAAAGUAUCAAGAAAUGAAACCCUAUACACCUUAAAGUUCAUAAGAUAGGCCGAAAAGAGAAUUUUU
rnacentral:lncRNA from 1 species